rnacentral:snoRNA from 1 species
ACCCUCCAGUUCCCUUUCCCAUCGGAUCUGAACACUGGUCUUGGUGGUCGUAAAAGGAGGAAGAGGAAUACUGAAGCUGGCCUCACAGUGUUGUAGCCUGGUAGUACAGCAUGUGGGCUGGUUUCUAACAGGU